CCUACGGGAGGCAGCAGUGGGGAAUAUUGCACAAUGGGCGCAAGCCUGAUGCAGCCAUGCCGCGUGUGUGAAGAAGGCCUUCGGGUUGUAAAGCACUUUCAGCGGGGAGGAAGGCGUUAAGGUUAAUAACCUUGUCGAUUGACGUUACCCGCAGAAGAAGCACCGGCUAACUCCGUGCCAGCAGCCGCGGUAAUACGGAGGGUGCAAGCGUUAAUCGGAAUUACUGGGCGUAAAGCGCACGCAGGCGGUCUGUCAAGUCGGAUGUGAAAUCCCCGGGCUCAACCUGGGAACUGCAUUCGGAACUGGCCGGGUAGGGUCUUGUAGAGGGGGGGAGGAUUCCAGGUGUAGCGGUGGAAUGCGUAGAGAUCUGGAGGAAUACCGGUGGGGGAGGCGGCCCCCUGGACAAAGACUGACGCUCAAGUGCGAAAGCGUGGGGAGCAAACAGGAUUAGAUACCCCUGGUAGUC
rnacentral:rRNA from 1 species